UCUCGGUAAGUGAGAGUGAAAAGGGAAUCCGGUGAGAAUCCGGAACAAUACCAGUUGCUGUAAGUCUCAGAUUUUCUGCGAGAAAAUACUUAUUUGCAUUCUUUUGCCACUGAUUAAGUUCGGGAAGGCGCGAAUAAGGAGACAAGUCAGAAGACCUCCCUUCUGC
rnacentral:ncRNA from 1 species